CAUGUGUUUUACAGCAAAGGACUCCACUGCACCUGGCAGCCCAGAAUGGCCACCAUGAAACUGUGUCAAUUUUACUGGCAGCUGGUGCAGAUAUGAACAUACAGGACAGUAAGGACAGGACUCCCCUGCACAUGGCAGCUAAGGAUGGCUACCAUGAAACUGUAUCAGCUUUACUGGCGGCUGGUGCAGAUGUGAACACACUGGACUGGCAGGGCUACACUCCCCUUCAGUAUGCAACUUUGCGAGGUCAAUCCAAGUGUGUGGACAUAAUGCAGCAGCACGAGGCUGAUAGGGAUGACAGAGACAAGG